AUCACCUGGGGAUCUUGUUAAAAUGUAAAUUCUGAUCUGGUAGAUAAGGGAUGGACCCUAAGACUCUGCAUUUCUAACGAGCUGCCAGGUGAUGCUGA
rnacentral:pre_miRNA from 1 species